rnacentral:rRNA from 1 species
GACGAACGCUGGCGGCGUGCUUAACACAUGCCAGUCGAACGAAGAGCGACGGAAGCUUGCUUCUAUCAAUCUUAGUGGCGCACGGGUGAGUAACGCGUAAUCAACCUGCCCUUCAGAGGGGGACAACAGUUGGAAACGACUGCUAAUACCGCAUACGAUCUAAUCUCGGCAUCGAGGAUGGAUGAAAGGUGGCCUCUACAUGUAAGCUAUCACUGAAGGAGGGGAUUGCGUCUGAUUAGCUAGUUGGAGGGGUAACGGCCCACCAAGGCGAUGAUCAGUAGCCGGUCUGAGAGGAUGAACGGCCACAUUGGGACUGAGACACGGCCCAGACUCCUACGGGAGGCAGCAGUGGGGAAUCUUCCGCAAUGGACGAAAGUCUGACGGAGCAACGCCGCGUGAGUGAUGACGGCCUUCGGGUUGUAAAGCUCUGUUAAUCGGGACGAAAGGCCUUCUUGCGAAUAGUGAGAAGGAUUGACGGUACCGGAAGAGAAAGCCACGGCUAACUACGUG